UACGUAGGGUGCAAGCGUUGUCCGGAAUUAUUGGGCGUAAAGAGCUCGUAGGCGGUCUGUCACGUCGGAUGUGAAAACUCGGGGCUCAACCCCGAGCCUGCAUACGAUACGGGCAGACUUGAGUUCGGCAGGGGAGACUGGAAUUCCUGGUGUAGCGGUGAAAUGCGUAGAGAUCGGAAGGAACACCCAAGGCGAAAGCACUCUGCUGGGCCGACACUGACACUGAGAGACGAAAGCUAGGGGAGCAAAUGGG
rnacentral:rRNA from 1 species